AUGAUUUUGCGACUACUUUCAUUUAACAAGGCUUAUGUGUGCAUAAGUUUGUUACUGAAUCUGGGAGAUGUAGCUAAGUAUAUAAAAAAUGUGCUUCUUUGCAUUAGGCAGAUGGAACUAUUCAGUUUAUACUUGUUGUUAAUCUUCUGUGUAUUGUGUAUGGUGCAUUCCUUAUUUGGUUUACACACCACAGUGGUAACUUGCAUUUUGUCAAGGAGGUUUGGUUCUAUUUUUUUUUUUGUGAAAACAUUAGUUCUCGACUUCAAUGCCAUCUUUCGUUGUUACAGGUAUAAAGCCUUGUUUUACUAUCCUCAGGAUAAACAUGUUUCAGAUACUAAACAAUGGAACAUCCAUGCCCUUUUGUGA
rnacentral:rRNA from 1 species